rnacentral:miRNA from 1 species
UCUGCAUUUUUUCGUGGGAUCGG